rnacentral:lncRNA from 1 species
AAGGGAGAGCAGGAGAGAACUUGAAUCAACUCUGCUACAGAAUUACCGAUUUCUUCCUGGGCAACUACAUUCUGAUUAAACCAACUGCUGGGGGGUGAGGGAUGAGGAAGGAGCAGACUGUGAUGACUAUCACCAUUUGAGUUUUAUUCUGCUAUAUGCCACUUUUCUAUCAAGUAACCCGAGGAAACACCUUAUAGGAAUAGCUCUCAAGACGUGGUUCCUGGGCCAGCAGCACCUGGCAGCUCGUUAGAGAUGGUCAAUGCUGGAGCAUGGGGAAGGCAAAUUGGAUUGAACCUCUUCACAGGACCUGCUUCCUGAGGUCUUCUCGCCAGCAGCCUGCAGUGUGGGCUUUCUGAGAACAGGGGGCAUGAGGAAACGCCACAGCCCUGGAGACGUUCUCUGCCUGCAGGUGCUGACAAUACACAGACACACACACCUGUGUCUAAGUGGGCCCAUAUUCACCUCUGGGAACAGGCCCUGCUGAGGAGGGGAGAUCCUCCAGCACAGCGAGGCAAGCCUGCUCACUCGGUCCUGCUUCCCACAGUCCAGCAAGCCCUGCUGGUUGCUUGUCAUUCCCUUCCUCUCU